AUCAUCUUUUGUUAUAUUUCAAUAACAAAAAAGGGUUCAACACUAAUAAAAGCAUCACACUGAAAGGUUUUCUAUUCAUUACACUCUGGAAUUCUGUUCUGGAAGGAUACGUCUAAAAGAACAGGCACAAGAUUAUGAAAUCAUUUCUGUUCCUCGUCUUCCUUGUUACCAUCGUCGUACAAGUUUAUGCCGAAAGGCUAACGGAAUUGGAGCUGAAUGAUGACUUUGAGGAUGGGGAUUUGAACACAAAGAGAACCAUCUUCGACCGGCCAUCGACGGAGUGCAAGCCGUGUUACAGGAAGGAUAGAAGUGGAACUUGCCAAAAAAUAAUUAGCUGCGGAGAAAAGCUUACCUUCCCCAGCUCACGUGGUUGCCCGAAGUGCCACGUUAAGGUUGGAAAUUCGUGCCGUAAAGUUAAUGGCUGCGAAUAAGAGUGAUCGAGGGAUGCAUGCCAAUGGAGUGUGUCUUCAAUGCACCCUCAUCAUUUAGUUUCUUAAUCACGAACAGUGUAGUAAUGUUAUUCAAUCUAAUAAAGUGAUCCAAGAUAUCACAG